CGGAAGGACGCCGAAGACUGCUGGGCUCGGUCCAGAAGGCUGUUGGGAUUUCAGCCAGUCAUCAGAGAUCAGCGCCUGCCUCUCUGUCUCUGUCUCCUACUCUCUGGGCUGAGCCAACCAUGUGACCUCAAUGACUCCUAAUACCUCUUGCCCUUUAGACCCUUCACCAUCUUUGUAGCCCUUCUUUGAAGACUCUCAAAUAGUUUUAAAUCCCUCUUAUAUCAUAGCGCCCAAAACUGCACACAGUGCUCAAAGUUGAGGUUGCACCAGCACAAAGCAGAGUGAGACAGUCCCUUCCCUCACCCUGCUGGCAGUGCCAGGCCUGAUGCACCCCAGGGUACCAUUGGCCCUUUUGGCUGACAGGGCACACUUCUGAUUCAGAUUCAACUUUCUUCAACCCCCAGAUCCCUUCCUGCAGGACUGCUCUCCAGCCUCUCAUUCACCAGUCUGUACAUACACCCAGGGUUGCCCCAUUCCAGGUGCAGAAUCUGGCACUUACUCUUGUUAAAAUUCAUGUGGUUGGUAGUUGUCCAGCCCUCUAAUUUUUCAAGAUCUCAAGACGUAUGCACUGAAUGUGGACUGCUUAGUGCCUGGAAAAGGCUCUGUGGCACUUAGUGUGUCUGCCUCUGCUUCAGCUCUCAGAAGACUUCAUCUUAUGGGAACCGAUGAGUUUGUUCUCAAUCACUGAAACCAACGCUGGGAAUCUUGAGAUGGAAAACACAUGUCAAAAUCUGCCACUACGUCCUGCAUUCUUCAUUGAUUCAAGAAAGCCAGGUGGAUUCUACACUGCCUCACAGAUCAGAAGAAAAACAUGAGCACAUUAUCGUUACAAAAUCUGUAUUACUGCUAGUAAUGACACAUUAAUAUAUUUGAUUUUUCUUUUCACAGAAUACAUCGGUUUUCAAAUAUAUUUUGAAUCUCCCUUUAGAUUUAAAGUUGAAUAUACUUGCAUGAGGAAUCAUGAGGUAAAAAUAAGAAAAAAAAACUGUAAAGAAAAACAAACUGAAUAUGUGAAAUCAACUGUAAAAACGUUUCGAGGGUGGAGGUGUAAUAGAAGAGUGCUUGAAUAUUUAUCAGCUGAUUUUACCAAAUGGCCAUUAAAGUCAAGGACCAUCUUAAGAAUCAAAGCAGGGACUUUUUCUGGGAGUGAAAUUAUAUUAUUAUUUUUAAAUAAAGUUUAGUGGUGAUCAACAUAUUUGCUCUUUUAUGAACAUUUAUUUGAUAUAUUUUAGAGAAAGCCACUUCAGCUGUUAAAUAUUGAAUAUUCCUUUUCCAACUUCAGGGUUCACAGAGGCAUAUUUCAUAAUGAAUAUUUGUGUGCUUUUUAUAUGUGAGUCAUCUUGUUUGCACAGCUCCCUAUAAAUCAUCUGAAUGAGUGACAGAAAGGACCAAUUAGAGCUUUUGUGCACUGGGGUAGAAUGGCACUUAGAUGUUUGUGCAAUCUCAUUUCAAUAGUUUCAGGUUCCACAGUUUCCCUGAGGAGAUUAUUUGAGAGCUUACCGCAAUUUAUUCUCAUGAUAGUCAGCUUCAACAUUUCCUUUUCCAAUUGUAUCAUAAUACACUUACAUCCAACAUAAUGUAUUACACAUUUUCUCCUCCUGUGAAGCAAGGUAGGUUCCAUAAAUCCUGCAAUAAAUUGGUCACCUCUUCCUAUGUCCUUGUAAGUCCUUAUUAGAUGAGCUAUAUAACACGAGUGCCUUGACAGCAACAUCAUGGUUAGGGCUCUUUUGUGAUUUGCACAAAAAGUAGCAAUCAGACCUCAAUACUAUAGGCACACUUCAUUCAAUCAUCUAAUUAAUUCACAAGAACAAAAAAAAUGAUAUUUCUUAUUGACUAAGUGUUUGGGCUAUGGAACAACUAACCGCCUAAAUCCAACUUCUGCAAACCAGUAUACGCAUUAUUAAAAUACUGCUCUUUUUUUAUGCACACUUGCACAGUCUUAGCCCCGUUUUCUCAGGGUCAUAUAAUAACCAUCCAGGAGCAAGUUUCAUCAUGCAUCUCUGAAAGGAUCCAGGCAAGCUUUCCAGUUCACUGUACAGAAAGGAGUACUGUCAGAUAAGCAUGCUUUAUUCUGUCCUGCCAGUCCACCGUCCAUCCUCCUGUUUACUAUAUGCCAAGUUGGUGUGCUUGCAGACCCCAAGCCUGCCUUCUCUAUUCAAGCCCUACUAUGAGACUGCCCCUGUGCUAGGGUUCAUGCUCAGCUCCUCCCAUUCCUGGGGGAAUUUUCUUACACAACACCUUUAAUGUCAAAGCUACACAUGUUCCUCUAGUAUUACUCAUUCAUACACAUGUAAAUUGAUUUACUGUAUACAAAUCCCAUUAGUACAUCCAACAGUCAUAUCAGACAUCCUGUGCUGGGACCUUAUCUGUAAGUUCAUCUGAAACUUUUAGACAAUCUUUUCCAAGACACAGGCUCUCAUUUCAGAAGCAUGGCAUAUAGUGCUUGGAAAUACACAUGCAUUUGACUGUACAAUCUGCUUGAAAGUGUUAAUUUUACUAGGCAGACCAGAUGAGGCUGCAGUUGCUCUCACAGCAGUUCACCAGGUAACAGUUUAGCACCUCCACAGAUCUCAUUAACAGCAAGGGGUUUUUUGAUCUUUGGUACAAAUCUUUGAAAGGCACUGGGAAACUCCCACAUCGCGAUGGCUAAACUUUGACAACUUUCCUGAUCUUUCAAAAGUAAAUAACCGUCUGUGUAACACAUUUAAAUGAUACUGCAGAUACAGCAUUGACCAUCAGAAAUGCACAUAGAAUAUCCCCAGUUCGAAGGGGCCCAUAAGGAUCACCAAGUCAGGCUUCUGGAGGUGACAAGACAUUGAUCAUAGGACUUAGGGACCGGUUUGCACUUCUAAGAUUAAUGAUUACAAACAGCAGAGGCAUUACAGAUUUGUAGUUACUUUUACGCCUUUAUGUGUAAACAUCACUGAAUAAGGCCAUCAUUGUUUUGUAACACCUGUGAGAUGAUCAACACUAACAGAGUUGAUAAAUGUUUCUGUAUCAGAUGCCUUACUAUCUUUCGUACUGUUUGAUUUGUGGAGUUAACAGCGAAGGGCUGUGUCGGACACCCUGCUGGAUUUCUUGAAAUCUGGCACAACACCAGAGCUUUAUGAAAUAUAAAGGAAGUUCUUGAGAUUAAGAUCCAACCUUAGCUACUUCCUUAUCCGACUCUUUCAAGAUCCGAGGGUACAAAUGAGAGGAGAGGAAAAGAAAAUGAAAAAAACAGCCCAAGCUUGCUUGGUGCAAAAGGUCCACAGUAGGUCUGGAAGCACCUCCUGAUGCCUUGUGCUGCUCCUAGGUGGGGUGACGCUGGCCCCACGCUACCGCACUCCCGUUCCGUUACUGCCAGCAUGGAAGAACCGCCUUCACCUCAGAGGGAUCACCCUUAUCCCUUUCUUCCCGUUGUCCGAGACUCUGUCCCUCUGUGCCGAGCAGAAAGCUUUCCUACAGCCCGCGGCACCACACACACGGAGCAGGAGGGCACCGGGUCCGCCCGAGGUGCAGCCCCUCGGCCUGGGCCCCACGCGAGGUCCCCGGCCG
ensembl:lncRNA